rnacentral:rRNA from 1 species
UGAACGCUGGCGGCGUGCCUAAUACAUGCAAGUCGAGCGACCGGACGAGAAGCUUGCUUCUCUGAUGUUAGCGGCGGACGGGUGAGUAACACGUGGAUAACCUACCUAUAAGACUGGGAUAACUUCGGGAAGCCGGAGCUAAUACCGGAUAAUAUUUUGAACCGCAUGGUUCAAAAGUGAAAGACGGUCUUGCUGUCACUUAUAGAUGGAUCCGCGCUGCAUUAGCUAGUUGGUAAGGUAACGGCUUACCAAGGCAACGAUGCAUAGCCGACCUGAGAGGGUGAUCGGCCACACUGGAACUGAGACACGGUCCAGACUCCUACGGGAGGCAGCAGUAGGGAAUCUUCCGCAAUGGGCGAAAGCCUGACGGAGCAACGCCGCGUGAGUGAUGAAGGUCUUCGGAUCGUAAAACUCUGUUAUUAGGGAAGAACAUAUGUGUAAGUAACUGUGCACAUCUUGACGGUACCUAAUCAGAAAGCCACGGCUAACUACGUG